AUACUUACCUGGCACAGGAGGCACCCUGAUCACGAAGGGGGUCCUCCCAGGGCGAGGCCUGUCCAUUGCACUUCGGAUGGGUUGACCCCUGCGAUCACCCCAAAUGUGGGUGACUCGGGUGCGUAAUUUUUUCGUAGGGGGGACUGCGUUCGCGCUAUCCCCUG
rfam:Trichobilharzia regenti genome assembly, scaffold: TRE_scaffold0117456